CGUAGCCUUCGAUUUUCGGGAGGAAAGUGAAGGCCGCAGACACCGCCCUGCCAACCGCCCGGGUGUGCCAACACGAAAAACCACCCCCUACUCUGCGUUGAUACC